GACGAACGCUGGCGGCGCGCCUAACACAUGCAAGUCGAACGGAGUCAAGAGGAGCUUGCUUUUCUUGACUUAGUGGCGAACGGGUGAGUAACGCGUGAGUAACCUGCCCUGGAGUGGGGGACAACAGUUGGAAACGACUGCUAAUACCGCAUAAGCCCACGGAUCCGCAUGGAUCUGCGGGAAAAGGAUUUAUUCGCUUCAGGAUGGACUCGCGUCCAAUUAGCUAGUUGGUGAGGUAACGGCCCACCAAGGCGACGAUUGGUAGCCGGACUGAGAGGUUGAACGGCCACAUUGGGACUGAGACACGGUCCAGACUCCUACGGGAGGCAGCAGUGGGGGAUAUUGCACAAUGGGGGAAACCCUGAUGCAGCGACGCCGCGUGGAGGAAGAAGGUUUUCGGAUUGUAAACUCCUGUCGUUAGGGACGAUAAUGACGGUACCUAACAAGAAAGCACCGGCUAACUACGUG
rnacentral:rRNA from 1 species